CCCUCACCCAACACACAUAUACCCAGCUCCUCUUUCUCUCUCCUGGACUUUCUCUUGUCCCUCCAAGCUCCUCCUCUACUUUCCAUCCAGCACUUCCAGUGGGGACCCAGGGAGAGAAGGCUGACUAACUGGUUUGGCCAGCUAUCAGCAGGCAGAGAGGAAAUCUGGCUAAGGAUGCUGCUUGUAGAAGUAGGGAGGAAGGAAAGGGGUGUGGCUAAAGACCCCACAUGGCUCAUCUGCCUGUCUCCUCUGGGAUGAUCACAGUUGCCUGGUUACCUGUCACCCGAG
rnacentral:lncRNA from 1 species